rnacentral:lncRNA from 10 species
GUUUUUAAUAGAAUGGUUGGUUUAUGUUCCUCCCAUUUGUUCAAAGUACUAACACAUCAUUAACAUUCAACACUGAAAAACUUAGAUUGACACACACUUUUAUUGUCCAACAUAAGUGUUAAGGGAAAGACAGCCACAGAUUUGCAUUCAUCUCUUUCCUGUUCCCAGCAUAGGAUACUAGGAGCCACAGAUUGGAAACAUUCCAAGGAUGAGCAAAAAGAGCUUACUGUUGGACUCAUACAUAAUAAUUAAACAUAAUUUUGCCCAAAAAAGUUGCUGUGAGUCAAUCACAAGUAAUAUUUUAAAAUUUAAAAUGUUAAGUCACACAGUAUUCCUGAAUUUACAUUUGAUCUUUAAUUCAUAGUCACAUUUACAAGCAAUAUUAUCAGGUUGGGCAGUGGUAAAAAUCAAAUUAUGGUUUGAGAGUCUACCAACUUCUUAUUACAAAAAAAGAUCUCUGUAUGAAGAAUAUUAUUUUGUAUUAAAACUAUCAGUUUUAAACAGCUGUCAGUCAGAAAGAAAUUUACAGCAAAGAAUAGUAAAUGAUGUAUAUCUUCUUUUCCUUAGUCAGGACAACACAAUAAUUUUUAACCACAUACAGUAUGAAGGGGCAAAUAAUUAUGUUUCUACAUUAAAGGAGGCAAAGUACACAAGAAAGCAUGACAAAAAGCAAAAGCAAAAAUAAAACAAGUUUAGAUUAAGAUCUAGUUUCAAGCCAGUCCCCAUCACUUGCUAGUCAUGUGGCUUUAAAAAAUUAACCUCUGUAGAUUCUACAUUCCUCUUCCAAUAAGCAAGAUUCUUUCCAGUUCACAAAGUUCUAAAUUCGAAAUCCUCCUUCAGAUUCAGAAAAGCAACCUACAGUCUAUAGCUGUUGUACUUUCUGCAGAUUUCUGUAUUAAAUAAAAUCUAUCUGUAAAUGGUUAAGUAUAUUCUAGAGACAAAUUAACAGACAUUAAUGUAAAUUACAUUAAUAGUACUUUGUUUUGUGGGGCAAGAUACAAGCUGGAGUAGGUAUUGGUAAAAAUGAAAUUAUGGUUUGAGAGCCUACCAAGAGUUCUAAAAUCUUAAUAAAUCAAGAGUUUUAAAAAUUUUCUUAAAAAACUAAAGAAAAUGAGAAGUCAAAGGAAUGACAUGUGAUGUUAUAGAAGGAAAAGGAAAAAAAUUAACUUUUCUUUGAGAAAAAUAUCCCCUAAAACAUAGUAGUUUCGAGUAAGUGGGGUUUUAAGUGCAACAGGUGACCUUUAAACUAUUUUUCAUGAGAGUGUAUCAACUGAACUAAUUUAUAUUACAUCCAGGUGGAUUACGUUUUUCUCAUUUUCACUAUAUAUUAUUCUUAUUUGUUCUACCACUCUCUUCACAUUAUUUAG